rnacentral:rRNA from 1 species
CGGAAAGGCCCUUCGGGGUACUCGAGUGGCGAACGGGUGAGUAACACGUGGGUGAUCUGCCCUGCACUUUGGGAUAAGCCUGGGAAACUGGGUCUAAUACCGAAUAUGACCGCGCUCUUCAUGGGGUGUGGUGGAAAGCUUUUGCGGUGUGGGAUGGGCCCGCGGCCUAUCAGCUUGUUGGUGGGGUAAUGGCCUACCAAGGCGACGACGGGUAGCCGGCCUGAGAGGGUGACCGGCCACACUGGGACUGAGAUACGGCCCAGACUCCUACGGGAGGCAGCAGUGGGGAAUAUUGCACAAUGGGCGCAAGCCUGAUGCAGCGACGCCGCGUGAGGGAUGACGGCCUUCGGGUUGUAAACCUCUUUCAAUAGGGACGAAGCGCAAGUGACGGUACCUAUAGAAGAAGGACCGGCCAACUACGUGCCAGCAGCCGCGGUAAUACGUAGGGUCCGAGCGUUGUCCGGAAUUACUGGGCGUAAAGAGCUCGUAGGUGGUUUGUCGCGUUGUUCGUGAAAACUCACAGCUUAACUGUGGGCGUGCGGGCGAUACGGGCAGACUAGAGUACUGCAGGGGAGACUGGAAUUCCUGGUGUAGCGGUGGAAUGCGCAGAUAUCAGGAGGAACACCGGUGGCGAAGGCGGGUCUCUGGGCAGUAACUGACGCUGAGGAGCGAAAGCGUGGGGAGCGAACAGGAUUAGAUACCCUGGUAGUCCACGCCGUAAACGGUGGGUACUAGGUGUGGGUUUCCUUCCUUGGGAUCCGUGCCGUAGCUAACGCAUUAAGUACCCCGCCUGGGGAGUACGGCCGCAAGGCUAAAACUCAAAGGAAUUGACGGGGGCCCGCACAAGCGGCGGAGCAUGUGGAUUAAUUCGAUGCAACGCGAAGAACCUUACCUGGGUUUGACAUGCACAGGACGCCAGUAGAGAUAUUGGUUCCCUUGUGGCCUGUGUGCAGGUGGUGCAUGGCUGUCGUCAGCUCGUGUCGUGAGAUGUUGGGUUAAGUCCCGCAACGAGCGCAACCCUUG